UUUCCUUGGGUUCCCUUGCUGGAAGCCAACAAUCUUCUCCAGUUGGAACAGUCGGACGGUUGACCACUGAAAGCCCUGUUGGCCUACACUUCCGUGAAGUCCAUGAGACAAAGACCAUUGACUGUCCAAGCCACCCAUGAGGUAUACCAUCUACCAGAGCCAGUGAGUUCGGAUCAGUCUGAUGAUUCUCUGUGCUCGGAGGGGGACCAGCUUGAGGUGGCUUGUGUCGACUGGAGGAACAGGGGCAGAUACACAGAUGAACUAAAAACACUAGCACUGCAGACACUCAGAACAAAGAAAGCAGCAGUGCCUGGACUUGGCAGUCUCCCUCUUUGAGUCCUCCUUCCGAGACUGGCUGCCUGUUGAGAACAAGUGACAGGCAGAACCUCCCACGCACACAGAAGUGACCUCUUCUCUAUUACACACACCAACAUUUUGUAUUGCAGUCUAUGAUUACCAUGUGAGUGUACAAAAAAUCUGUGAAAAUAAAGGAAUGCCACACUUGUACCAAAAAAAAGUUAAAAAUAUAUUUCAAUAUUGCCAGGUUGGUUUUCACAGCUGUUUCAUAAGGUGUUCAUUGUUGUAAAUGAUAAGGUAUCCCUUGAUGGUAUUUGUUAGUUCAACAUUAUUCAUUGCUGUAUCCUAGGACCUACAAUAGAUACAUAUAAUGAGCUAUGCGAGAUAGAAAGAAAUGAAUCAUAAUAGAGGACUGAAAUGAUAUUAUUUCACUGUAGAUGAGGGAAGGGCAGGUUGAAAUAAAAACAUGGCAGUCAGACAAGCCAGUGUAUGAAUCAAACGGAUUUGCAUAUGAAUGGAGCAGAAAUUUGCUGACUUUGUGAUCUGUAAGGUAAGUAACAUUGACGUGUCAAGCAGAUUAAACAUUUGCUUUGCUAUUUCCGAAAUGUAGCAAUGUUUAUGACAUGGACUUCAUGUUGUUGAAAUGUUAACAAAGUACCCCAAAGUAGUUUGAAGUAAUGGUUUCAUCUUAUUAGCUAAGCAAAACUAGUUUAAACAGCUAAAUUGUCGCAGAACUCAGCUUUGCUUGUACUGUGGGGAUGAAAAGAACGUAAUUUAGGCUGUAAUGAUCUCCAAAAUUCAAUGCAUUAGCUCAUCAUACCAUCUAUAUAGCAACGGACACUAAUAGUUUAGCGAAUCCCACUGUGAAGCAGGGGGGGACACUUUUUGGUAGAGGGACACUAUUUGGCAUGACAGAUCCCCUGGAGGUCAGGGCAGCUGACAAGAAGAGGAAAACUGUUGAUGCACAAACAAAUUAAGAAAUUGCACCUUGUGUAUUGUACUAUUAACAGCUCAACAGUAAGUCAAGACCCCUUUUUUGGUCAGCGGCCCCUUAGUUGCCGGUGGCCCUAGGUGUCUGCCUAUGUCGCUUAGGGCCGAUCAUGUUAGUCUGCACUAUGCUAUAGUGGCAGUGUUUGUACUGGUUUUCUUUGGUGUAUGUAGCAAAAUGUGCUUUCCUAGCUCACAUGCCCUUGCGACUGUCUGAUCAUCCAUCAGCUUUACCGCUUUCCCAUAGAAAUCAUACUAUACUGUAGCCUACAUAUGAAGGUUCAUGACAGUCAUGCGAUCCAGCCAUGUCCACAUCCCUCAUGCAGCAGCUGCACCAGGAGCAGCUGCUUUUUAUUGGAGUUUUUUGAAUCCCCCCAGAAUGUUUCUGGCACAUCAUGAAAUGAUAAGUGUUAAUCAGAGAUCAGAGUCAGACCACGCCAAGGUAGCUGAAGGCAAUGAAGGACAAUCCCAAAGAAUGGUCUUAAUACAUUCCUAGAAGUGCAUGACCUAGAUAUAAUUGUAUUAUCAACUCCUGCAACUUUAUUUUAGUAGGAAAAUCUCAUAUCUGCUGAGAUAAGUCAAAAUGGCAAGGAAAUUGCCUGACAAAAGUUGAGAGGAAAUAUUCCUCAUUGUGCAACAGUCUUAAUUCAAUUGACUUAUUCUGUCCCAUGAGUCGAUAGCCAUUUCCCCUGUCUCAUCUAGCCAUGGUUGAUUUAUAAUAUUCCAAGGCAGAGUAGUUUCUGGAGAGCAGUUUAAAUAAAGGGUUUUUAAGUUAGUAUUGUUCCAUUCUCACAACCCUGAGAGUACUCAGGGGGUCCUCUCGUCCUCUCUCCUAUUGUGGGUUAUGCAUAUUCAGCAAUAGGCUUGCUCGUUGAGAGAAAUGCUAGCCUCUACUGUCAUGGCAAAUAAACACAAAAGCAACCAUAAUUGUUCCUGUAGAUCCAUAAAAAUCCCAAUAAACAAUUCCGUCAUUGAUUCUAUAAUGCUGUUGUCUUGUUAUUGUUAAAUCUUUCUUGAAAGCCAAACAUUAGAGGGACUCAAUGGCUUCCUUUGAAGCAACAUUUACAUAUUUGUCACGUUCUGACCUUAGUUCCUUUUUUAUGUCUCUAUUUUGGUUUGGUCAGGGCGUGAAUUGGGUUGGGCAUUCUAUG